rnacentral:rRNA from 1 species
GAUGAACGCUAGCGGCAGGCCUAAUACAUGCAAGUCGGACGGGAUUCAGGAGCUUGCUUCUGAUGAGAGUGGCGCACGGGUGCGUAACACGUAUGUAACCUACCUUUAUCAGGGGGAUAGCCUCUCGGAAGAGAGAUUAAGCCCGCAUAAAAUCACAGCACAGCAUUGUGUAAUGAUCAAAUAUUUAUAGGAUAAAGAUGGGCAUGCGGAACAUUAGCUAGAUGGCGGGGUAACGGCCCACCAUGGCGACGAUGUUUAGGGGAUCUGAGAGGAUGGCCCCCCACACUGGUACUGAGACACGGACCAGACUUCUACGGGAGGCAGCAGUAAGGAAUAUUGGUCAAUGGGCGGAAGCCUGAACCAGCCAUGCCGCGUGCAGGAAGACGGCCCUACGGGUUGUAAACUGCUUUUAUACGGGAAUAACCCAGAUACGUGUAUCCAGCUGAAUGUACUGUAAGAAUAAGGAUCGGCUAACUCCGUG